rnacentral:rRNA from 1 species
UACGUAGGUCCCGAGCGUUGUCCGGAUUUAUUGGGCGUAAAGCGAGCGCAGGUGGUUUAUUAAGUCUGGUGUAAAAGGCAGUGGCUCAACCAUUGUAUGCAUUGGAAACUGGUAGACUUGAGUGCAGGAGAGGAGAGUGGAAUUCCAUGUGUAGCGGUGAAGUGCGUAGAUAUAUGGAGGAACACCGGUGGCGAAAGCGGCUCUCUGGCCUGUAACUGACACUGAGGCUCGAAAGCGUGGGGAGCAAACAGG